AACGAACGCUGGCGGCAUGCCUAACACAUGCAAGUCGAACGAGACCUUCGGGUCUAGUGGCGCACGGGUGCGUAACGCGUGGGAAUCUACCCUUGGGUUCGGAAUAACAGUUAGAAAUGACUGCUAAUACCGGAUGAUGACGUAAGUCCAAAGAUUUAUCGCCCAAGGAUGAGCCCGCGUAAGAUUAGCUUGUUGGUGGGGUAUGGCCUACCAAGGCGACGAUCUUUAGCUGGUCUGAGAGGGUGAUCAGCCACACUGGGACUGAGACACGGCCCAGACUCCUACGGGAGGCAGCAGUGGGGAAUAUUGGACAAUGGGCGAAAGCCUGAUCCAGCAAUGCCGCGUGAGUGAUGAAGGCCUUAGGGUUGUAAAGCUCUUUUACCAGGGAUGAUAAUGACAGUACCUGGAGAAUAAGCUCCGGCUAACUCCGUGCCAGCAGCCGCCGUAA
rnacentral:rRNA from 1 species